AACGCACAUUGCGCCCCUCGGUAUUCCGUGGGGCAUGCCUGUUCGAGCGUCAUCUACACCCUCAAGCCCUGCUUGGUGUUGGGUGCCUGUCCCGCCCCGCGCGGCGACUCACCCCAAAUGCAUUGGCGGCGGCGCCUUGCCCCUCCCGCGCAGCACAUUGCGCUUCUCGAGGCGGCGGGACCGCGUUCCACGAAGCCGACAACCCGUCUUUGACCUCGGAUCAGGUAGGGAUACCCGCUGAACUUAA
rnacentral:misc_RNA from 2 species